UAAGGAAUAUUGCUCAAUGGGAGAAAUCCUGAAGCAGCAACGCCGCGUGGAGGAUGAAGGGUCUAUGACUUGUAAACUCCUGUAAAGAAGGAAAAAAUUCCCAUUUGAUGGGAGAUGAUGGUACUUCUGGAGUAAGCCCCGGCUAACUACGUGCCAGCAGCCGCGGUAAUACGUAGGGGGCAAGCGUUGUCCGGAUUUACUGGGUGUAAAGGGUGCUCAGGCGGAUUUGUAAGUCAGAGGUGAAAUCUUACAGCUUAACUGUGAAACUGCCUUUGAUACUGCAAGCCUAGAGUAUGGAAGAGAGUGAUGGAAUAUCUGGGGUAGCAGUGAAAUGCGUAGAUAUCAGAUAGAACACCAAUGGCGAAGGCAGUCACUUGGUCCAUUACUGACGCUAAAGCACAAAAGCGUGGGUAGCAAACA
rnacentral:rRNA from 1 species